GGACAACAGUUGGAAACGACUGCUAAUACCGCAUAAGCCCACAGGUCGGCAUCGACCUGAGGGAAAAGGAGCAAUCCGCUUUGAGAUGGCCUCGCGUCCGAUUAGCUAGUUGGUGAGGUAACGGCCCACCAAGGCGACGAUCGGUAGCCGGACUGAGAGGUUGAACGGCCACAUUGGGACUGAGACACGGCCCAGACUCCUACGGGAGGCAGCAGUGGGGAAUAUUGCACAAUGGGGGAAACCCUGAUGCAGCGACGCCGCGUGGAGGAAGAAGGUCUUCGGAUUGUAAACUCCUGUUGUUGAGGAAGAUAAUGACGGUACUCAACAAGGAAGUGACGGCUAACUACGUGCCAGCAGCCGCGGUAAAACGUAGGUCACAAGCGUUGUCCGGAAUUACUGGGUGUAAAGGGAGCGCAGGCGGGAAGACAAGUUGGAAGUGAAAUCUAUGGGCUCAACCCAUAAACUGCUUUCAAAACUGUUUUUCUUGAGUAGUGCAGAGGUAGGCGGAAUUCCCGGUGUAGCGGUGGAGUGCGUAGAUAUCGGGAGGAACACCAGUGGCGAAGGCGGCCUACUGGGCACCAACUGACGCUGAGGCUCGAAAGUGUGGGUAGCAAACAGGAUUAGAUACCCUGGUAGUCCACACCGUAAACGAUGAUUACUAGGUGUUGGAGGAUUGACCCCUUCAGUGCCGCAG
rnacentral:rRNA from 1 species